rnacentral:rRNA from 1 species
AGCGAACGCUGGCGGCAGGCUUAACACAUGCAAGUCGAGCGGACCUUUCGGGGUCAGCGGCGGACGGGUGAGUAACGCGUGGGAACGUGCCUUCCGGUUCGGAAUAACCCUGGGAAACUAGGGCUAAUACCGGAUACGCCCUUAUGGGGAAAGGUUUACUGCCGGAAGAUCGGCCCGCGUCUGAUUAGCUAGUUGGUGGGGUAACGGCCUACCAAGGCGACGAUCAGUAGCUGGUCUGAGAGGAUGCUCAGCCACACUGGGACUGGGACACGGCCCAGACUCCUACGGGAGGCAGCAGUGGGGAAUAUUGGACAAUGGGCGCAAGCCUGAUCCAGCCAUGCCGCGCGAGUGAUGAAGGCCUUAGGGUUGUAAAGCUCUUUUAUCCGGGACGAUAAUGACGGUACCGGAGGAAUAAGCCCCGGCUAACUUCGUG